CCUGACUAUGAUGACCCACUUGCCCUAUCUGAGAAAAGCUCUAUUAUGAAACAAUCAAAAUCCUCAUUUCCCUGAGUCAGU